UUUUUUUUCUUUUUCUGUAUUAAUAGGGCCAUUCACAUGUUAAACUGCAGCUUGCAGCCAUGUUUUGUAUAUCAAACCUCAUAUGGAAUGAAGAGGAAGGUUCACAAGAACGCCAGGAUAAAUUACGAGACAUGGGCAUCGUAGAUAUUCUACACAAACUGAGUCAGUCACCAGAUUCAAAC
rnacentral:sRNA from 1 species